rnacentral:rRNA from 1 species
UACGUAGGGUGCAAGCGUUGUCCGGAAUUAUUGGGCGUAAAGAGCUCGUAGGCGGUUUGUUGCGUCGGCUGUGAAAUCCCGAGGCUCAACCUCGGGUCUGCAGUCGAUACGAGCAAACUAGAGUGUUGCAGGGGAGACUGGAAUUCCUGGUGUAGCGGUGAAAUGCGCAGAUAUCAGGAGGAACACCGGUGGCGAAGGCGGGUCUCUGGGCAACAACUGACGCUGAGGAGCGAAAGCCAGGGGAGCAAACGGG